rnacentral:lncRNA from 1 species
CAACCUCGCAGAACUGCUGGUCUUCCCAGGCAACCAUGGGCCUGUACAGCCAAGGAGACUGCCGCUUUGCAGGGGCCCAGUCCUGCGUGGUUUGGGCACUCAGCACGUCACAGGAUUGAACCUCACACAAGCAGGCAGCCGCAGUACCUACCACGCACUGGGAGGCUCUGCCAACAGCCACGUCUGCCGAAUCCGCUGGUUCCAAGCUUUCCUCCCCGGGGGGGCAGGCAGAGGGGACACAUUUGCUCAGAGCAGCACAACACCCACAGGAGGGCCAGUGAUGGGCCUGGCAGGCAGAGGAGAUUGGCAUGGGGAGGCUUUGUUGGCGCUACAGAGGGACGACAUUUUAUUCUAGCGACAGAGAGACAAACGCAGCCCUGGCCCAGCUGGGUGGAAUUCCCAUGCCCUCGAUGGCCUCAGACUCUCAUCUCCUGGGCUGUAGUUGGACUGGUGUCGUUUGAAAGGGAUCUCAGCACCCCAGCACCAGGGCUGCUGAGAGGAGAAGGAGCCCUUGUCCUGCCUGUGGCAAAGGCCAGGCCACAACAGAAGAGAUGCCCUUCCAUUUUGUUUCAAUAAGGGACGCGGGAAAAAACUCCUUUGCAAAUACUUGGGUAACUCUUCCUGCCACUUCCAAUUUGACACUGUAACUUCCUUCCUGCACGUCCCACCAAAGCACCAGAGGCAAAGAAACAAGAUGAAAGGCCUGCGGCUCAUUUUUUAUUGUAGGGUUUCCCCAGACCGGGGUUUUCCCUGCUGCCUCCAAGCAAUGUCAUGCAGAUAAUGGAGAAUUAAAAUACAAAGUAACAUGGAAACUCUGCUGGUGUUUUCCAGUGAAUAGCACUGCUCCGUUAUGGCUCUUUACAUCCCUGUGCUGCACAGCGAAUGACCCCAGGCACUGCCCCUUGGAAAGAGGAGAAUAACACACUGAACCGCAAGACUAACGUUGAAUUUGGAGAGUCAGACCCCACUGGAGGGGUGGCAGAGGCUUGGGAUUGAAGGGAAAGACAGGGAGAGGAGAUAACGCGGCUACUUUAGCAGAUUGCUGUUUUGGGAAACCGAUGCUCCCCCGCUAACCUCACGCCGUUCUGCAGCCCUCAGAGCCUCUGCUCGUUUCCAAGAGGGCGUCAUUCUUCCUGAGUCAAAAACAGCUUUAAACUAAACCCAACAGCCCUCCAACACUGCACCAGUUCUGUCAAUCAGCCCCUGUCAAAAUCAAUCUGCUCAUUCACUCAUCGGAGAUGGGGUUUUUUGUCUUGUUUUGUUUUUUUGAAAGUGAAAUUUGAUAAAAAUCAGAAGUGUACCCAGCUAAUACAAUAGAGGAAGGAAAACUCUGGCGUCCCAUCAAUCAAGAUGCCACCUAAUAUCCUUCCAGCUGGAGACGGGCCAAAGAGAGUGAGCAGUGCACUUUGGGGACAAUACAGCCCCCGUCUUGGG